UACGUAGGUGUCGAGCGUUGUCCGGAUUUAUUGGGCGUAAAGAGCCCGCAGGCGGCUUGGCAAGUUUGGGGUGAAAUCUCCCGGCUCAACUGGGAGGGUGCCCUGAAAACUGUCAGGCUUGAGUCAUGGAGAGGGAUGUGGAAUUCCAGGUGUAGUGGUGAAAUGCGUAGAUAUCAGGAGGAACACCUGUGGUGUAGACAGCUCGCUGGGACGUGACUGACGCUGAGACGCGAAAGCGUGGGGAGCAAACAGG
rnacentral:rRNA from 1 species